AGUUUGAUCAUGGCUCAGGAUUAACGCUGGCGGUAUGCCUAACACAUGCAAGUCGAACGGAAUACUCGAAAAGAGAAUCUCACACUAGUGAGAGGUUCUCCAACCGAGUAUUUAGUGGCGGACGGGUGAGUAACACGUUGGAACCUGCCCCGAAGUGGGGAAUAACUGCUCGAAAGAGUAGCUAAUACCCCAUAGUAUCCGGUUUAUCCGGAUUAAAGAUUUAUCGCUUCGGGAGGGGCCUGCGUCUGAUUAGCUUGUUGGUGAGGUAAAAGCUCACCAAGGCGACGAUCAGUAGCUGGUUCGAGAGGAUGACCAGCCACACUGGGACUGAGAUACGGCCCAGACUCCUACGGGAGGCAGCAGUGAGGAAUCUUCCACAAUGGACGAAAGUCUGAUGGAGCAAUACCGCGUGCAGGAAGACGCUUUUCGGAGUGUAAACUGCUUUUGUCGUCGAAGAUUAUGACUGUAGACGAAGAAUAAGGACCGGCUAACUACGUG
rnacentral:rRNA from 1 species